rnacentral:misc_RNA from 1 species
UGAUAAGAAACAAAGGACUUUGAUUAAUUUCUUGGUGAAUUCUCCAAAGGGAACUGUUUUCAUGGAAUCUGUUGAUGCUUCAGAGUACUCAAAAACUGGUGAUAAGAUGUAUGACCUGCUUAAUAGAUUUGUAGAGCGUGUUGGAGAGGCUAAUGUGGUUCAAGUUGUGACAGAUAAUGCUAGCAAUUGUGUGCUUGCAGGGAAGUUGUUAGAAAUAAAGUGCCAUAGUUUAAUUUAAUUGUAAGUAAAUAAUGUAUUUAAUAUUUAUGCUACUUGCUACCAUAUUUGUUUUGUUUUUAGGGAAGUUGUUAGAAACAAAGUGCCCUCAUUUGUAUUGGACUCCUUGUGCUGCUCAUUGCCUAGAUUUGAUGCUAGAAGAUAUUGGAAAAAUUCCCAAAAUUCAUAACACAAUUAAAAGGGCAGUGACAUUGAAUGGAUAUAUUUACAUUCGUCCGGGUGUUGUGAACAUGUUGCGGCACUUUACUGGUGAAAGAGAGCUAAUUAGGCCAGCUGUCACAAGAUUUGCAACUGCUUUUCUCACCCUUCAACGUAUACGUAAGCACAAGGCGAAUUUGAGAAAGAUGUUUAC